rnacentral:rRNA from 1 species
UAAGCGGAGGAAAAGAAACUAACAAGGAUUCCCCUAGUAACGGCGAGUGAACAGGGAAGAGCUCAAAUUUGUAAUCUGGCGUCCCUUGGGCGUCCGAGUUGUAAUCUAUAGAAGCGUUUUCCGUGCUGGACCAUGUCCAAGUCCCUUGGAACAGGGUAUCAAAGAGGGUGACAAUCCCGUGCUUGACAUGACGACCAGUGCUCUGUGAUACGCUCUCUACGAGUCGAGUUGUUUGGGAAUGCAGCUCAAAAUGGGUGGUGAGUUCCAUCUAAAGCUAAAUAUUGGCGAGAGACCGAUAGCGAACAAGUACCGUGAGGGAAAGAUGAAAAGCACUUUGGAAAGAGAGUUAAACAGUACGUGAAAUUGUUGAAAGGGAAACGAUUGAAGUCAGUCGUGUCCGAGGGGUUCAGCCGGUCCCGCCGGUGUAUUCCCCUCGGAUGGGUCAACGUCAGUUUGGACCGGUGGAAAAGGGCAGUUGGAAGGUGGCAGCUCCGGUUGUGUUAUAGCCUUCUGUCGCAUACGCCGGUCUAGACUGAGGAAUGCAGCUCGCCUUCAUGGCUGGGGUUCUCCCACAUUCGAGCUUAGGAUGUUGACAUAAUGGCUUUAAACGACCCGUCUUGAAACACG